AUACGGAGGAUGCGAGCGUUAUCCGGAUUUAUUGGGUUUAAAGGGUGCGUAGGUGGUAGAUUAAGUCAGCGGUGAAAGUUUGUCGCUCAACGAUAAAAUUGCCGUUGAUACUGGUUUACUUGAGUAUAGUUGAAGUAGGCGGAAUGCGUGGUGUAGCGGUGAAAUGCAUAGAUAUCACGCAGAACUCCGAUUGCGAAGGCAGCUUACUAAGUUAUAACUGACACUGAAGCACGAAAGCGUGGGUAUCAAACAGGAUUAGAUACCCUGGUAGUCCGCACAGUAAACGAUGAAUACUCGCUGUUUGCGAUACACGGUAAGCGGCCAAGCGAAAGCGUUAAGUAUUCCACCUGGGGAGUACGCCGGCAACGGUGAAACUCAAAGGAAUUGGCGGGG
rnacentral:rRNA from 1 species